rnacentral:snRNA from 1 species
AACCUUGCGCAGUGGCAAUAUCGUAACCUCCUGAGGUGCGAUUAUGGCUAGAUGAAAUCUUUUACCAGUGUUUAAUAUAAUUGAUAUAAAUACAUUUUUUUAAAAAUAGUAACUAU